rnacentral:rRNA from 1 species
CUACGGGGGGCACCAGUGAGGAAUAUUGCACAAUGGGGGGAACCCUGAUGCAGCAACGCCGCGUGGAGGAUGACGCAUUUCGGUGUGUAAACUCCUUUUAUAUGUCAAGAAAAUGACGGUAGCAUAUGAAUAAGCACCGGCUAACUCCGUGCCAGCAGCCGCGGUAAUACGGAGGGUGCAAGCGUUACUCGGAAUCACUGGGCGUAAGGGACGCGUAGGCGGGUUGGAAAGUCAGGUGUGAAAUCCUACAGCUUAACUGUAGAACUGCACUUGAAACUUCUAAUCUAGAGUAUGGGAGGGGGUGAUGGAAUUAGUGGUGUAGGGGUAAAAUCCGUAGAUAUCACUAGGAAUACCUAAAGCGAAGGCGAUCUCCUGGAACAUUACUGACGCUAAGGCGUGAAAGCGUGGGGAGCAAACAGGAUUAGAUACCCCCGUAGUC